rnacentral:rRNA from 1 species
AAUUCCAAACGAACUUGGAGAUAGCUGGUUCUCUCCGAAAUAGCUUUAGGGCUAGCCUCGCAAAGAGGAUGCUGGAGGUAGAGCUCUGUUUGGACUAGGGGCCCGUCAAGGGUUACUGAAUUCAGAUAAACUGCGAAUUCCAGACAUUUAUGUGCGGGAGUCAGACUGCGAGUGAUAAGAUCCGUAGUCGAAAGGGAAACAGCCCAGAUCACCAGUUAAGGUCCCAAAAUUCAUGCUAAGUGGAAAAGGAUGUGGAGUUGCGCAGACAACUAGGACGUUGGCUCAGAAGCAGCCAUCAUUCAAAGAGUGCGUAAUAGCUCACUAGUCGAGUGACGCCGCGCCGAAAAUUUACCGGGGCUAAGCAUGAUACCGAAACUGUGGAUGUGCGUUUAUGCACGUGGUAGGAGAGCGUUCUAGCGGCGGUGAAGCAUGACCGAGAGGACAUGUGGAGCUUCUAGAAGUGAGAAUGCCGGUAUGAGUAACGAAAGACAGGUGAGAAUCCUGUCCGCCGCAAGACUAAGGUUUCCUGGGGCAGGCUCGUCCGCCCAGGGUAAGUCGGGACCUAAGGCGAGGCCGAGAGGCGUAGUCGAUGGACAACAGGUUGAAAUUCCUGUACUGCACCGAAUCGUUAUGAGCGAUGGAGGGACGCAGGAGGCUAGCAGCGCGUGGUGCUGGAUACCACGUUCAAGCGUCAAGUCUGAGAGCGAGUCAAAUGCUUGCUCUCAUAAGGACAAGGCGUGAUGAGGAGCGAAAUUAAAGUAGCGAAGGCUGCGACGUCACACUGCCGAGAAAAGCUUCUAGCCAGAGACGGUGCACCCGUACCGCAAACCGACACAGGUAGUCGAGGAGAGUAUCCUCAGGUGAGCGAGAGAACUCUCGUUAAGGAACUCGGCAAAAUGGCCCCGUAACUUCGGGAGAAGGGGCGCUGGUCGCAAGAUCAGCCGCAGUGAAAAGGCCCAAGCAACUGUUUAUCAAAAACACAGGCAUCUGCAAAAUCGUAAGAUGAAGUAUAGGUGCUGACACCUGCCCGGUGCUGGAAGGUUAAGAGGAGAGCUUAGCGCAAGCGAAGGUUUGAAUUGAAGCCCCAGUAAACGGCGGCCGUAACUAUAACGGUCCUAAGGUAGCGAAAUUCCUUGUCGGGUAAGUUCCGACCUGCACGAAAGGUGUAAUGAUUUGGGCACUGUCUCAACGAGAGACUCGGUGAAAUUAUAAUACCCGUGAAGAUGCGGGUUACCCGCGACAGGACGGAAAGACCCCAUGGAGCUUUACUGCAGUUUAAUAUUGGGUAUCUGUCAAGCAUGUACAGGAUAGGUAGGAGCCGGAGAAGAUAGGACGCCAGUCUUAUCUGAGGCGCUGUUGGGAUACUACCCUUGCUUGACGGAUGCUCUAACUCAGGUCUGUGAUCCAGGCCGAGGACAGUGUUUGACGGGCAGUUUGACUGGGGCGGUCGCCUCCUAAAGUGUAACGGAGGCGCCCAAAGGUUCCCUCAGAAUGGUUGGAAAUCAUUCGCAGAGUGUAAAGGUAAAAGGGAGCUUGACUGCGAGAGAGACAACUCGAGCAGGUACGAAAGUAGGGCUUAGUGAUCUGGUGGUACCGUAUGGAAGGGCCAUCACUCAACGGAUAAAAGCUACCCUGGGGAUAACAGGCUUAUCUCCCCCAAGAGUUCACAUCGACGGGGAGGUUUGGCACCUCGAUGUCGGCUCGUCGCAUCCUGGGGCUGAAGUCGGUCCCAAGGGUUGGGCUGUUCGCCCAUUAAAGCGGCACGCGAGCUGGGUUCAGAACGUCGUGAGACAGUUCGGUCCCUAUCCGUCGUGGGCGUAGGAAAUUUGAGAGGAGCUGUCCUUAGUACGAGAGGACCGGGAUGGACGCACCGCUGGUGUACCAGUUGUCUUGCCAAAGGCAUCGCUGGGUAGCUAUGUGCGGACGGGAUAAGCGCUGAAAGCAUCUAAGUGCGAAGCCCCCCUCAAGAUGAGAUUUCCCAUUUCUUCAAGAAAGUAAGACACCUCAGAGACGAUGAGGUAGAUAGGCCGGGAGUGGAAGAGCCGUGAGGCUUGGAGCGGACCGGUACUAAUCAGUCGAGGACUUGACCAAAA